AAACAAGAAGCAAAAACUUGCAUUUAGUUUCGACCUAAAUUUUUGAUUUUUAUUAAUCCUUGUUUU
rnacentral:tRNA from 1 species